rnacentral:rRNA from 1 species
UACGAAGGGUGCAAGCGUUAAUCGGAAUUACUGGGCGUAAAGCGUGCGCAGGCGGUGAUGUAAGACAGGUGUGAAAUCCCCGGGCUUAACCUGGGAACUGCAUUUGUGACUGCAUCGCUGGAGUGCGGCAGAGGGGGAUGGAAUUCCGCGUGUAGCAGUGAAAUGCGUAGAUAUGCGGAGGAACACCGAUGGCGAAGGCAAUCCCCUGGGCCUGCACUGACGCUCAUGCACGAAAGCGUGGGUAGCAAACAGG